CGCUGUGAUGGUUGGUGUGCCCAGCCUGGUGGUGCUGGUGCCAUGCCCAGGGUCAGUGACCACUGCUCGCCCCCAGCAGGGCUGUGCUGACCCUUUCUGAUCAUCCCCUCUCCUUUGGAGCGCUGGGAAUGGAUCCCACAAGGGUUUGCUCCAUGUUUUUGUUGGGACUGAGGUUAGGCUGAACGUCCUGUAGUUCUUCCUCCUCAGCCCUCUGGAAGCUGAACAUGACAUUUGGCUUUUUUCCAGCCAUCAAGACCCUGCUCUGAUUUCCCUGGCAUUUCAACUGAUUGGCAGCAGCCUCACAGUGCUGGGAACCAGCAGCUUUAGCAUCCCCAAAUGCAUCAUCUGGUCCCAAAGGUUUUGUUAGUGUUUGUGGGUUUUUCCUUUUCUCACCAGGUUGCUGCAAUAGUCCCUCUCUGGCUCUGCCUGUCCUGGGCCCUCCCUUAGAUUGUCCCACUGGGCAGGGACCUGGCAACCUGAGGGCAGGGCUGGCAGUAAAAGCCAGGGCAAAGAGUGCAUGCAGUUACCUUACUGAUAAAAUGGGAGUAUUUGUGCUAGAAGGGCCUGUGAAGGUCCCUGCCUGUGCUGCUCUGAAGGCUGAUGUGCUCAGUGCUGGUUUUUGUUUAUCUUGGUUUGUCUGAUUCCUUGUUUCACUCCAGCUCCCUCCUGGCUCUCCUGAGGCUGAGCAGGAGGCGCUUGGGAGUCUGGGCAUGGCACAGCCAGGCUGGCUGCCCGAGGAAGCCUCUCAGACACAGAUUGUCACAGCACCACAAACGGCACCAAAACGCACCCAGACCUUCUCUUGCUGCUCCUGGGGAUGAUUCUGUCAGGGAGGAGCUGCAUCCAUCACCUGAGCCCUGCCCUGCCAGCACCUCGCCCCUCUGACCUGCAGAGCCUGCCCAGCUAAGGCUUUCUCCUGGACAGCGUUGGUACCAAAAGUCAGCGUAAGCCAUUCUUGAUAACCAAGAGGCUCCGGGGAAAGGUGCCUGAGUUAUUCUGAAGGGUUCAUCCCUCAGGACACCCUGGCUCUGUCACACCUCAGGUCUUUGGCUGGCAGCUCCAAGGGGCAGCACAGAUUUCUGACCCCGCUCUAGCUCUGUGUGUGGAGAGGGAAGAUUCACUCCAAGAUUUGAUCUCAGGAGUCUGUACCUGGUUGAGCUUCCAAAUUCAGUGAAGACAAUAUCCAAAAUCUCACUUUGUUGACCUUCAUGUUUAAUAUUUGAAAUGAUCAGGGGUUGGAGAGUGCUCUAGUGCAAACCUGCCAGUCCUGUGCCAACUGUGCCAGCUCCACAAACAGUGAUUUUGCAGGAGAAUUUGAAGUCAAUGGCAGAAUUUUAAAAUGCCAUAAACACCAGCUGGCUGAAGCCUCCUGCACACUCUGCACCAGGAGCAGUGUUUUACAAACUGCUGUGUGAUAUAACCUGAAUGAUAGAAAUAAACUUUCUGUGCAGCUGUUCUGGGCCUUUGCA
rnacentral:lncRNA from 1 species